AAAGCGUGCGCAGGCGGUUAUAUAAGACAGAUGUGAAAUCCCCGGGCUCAACCUGGGACCUGCAUUUGUGACUGUAUAGCUAGAGUACGGUAGAGGGGGAUGGAAUUCCGCGUGUAGCAGUGAAAUGCGUAGAUAUGCGGAGGAACACCGAUGGCGAAGGCAAUCCCCUGGACCUGUACUGACGCUCAUGCACGAAAGCGUGGGGAGCAAACAGGAUUAGAUACCCGGGU
rnacentral:rRNA from 1 species